CCUACGGGAGGCAGCAGUGAGGAAUAUUGGUCAAUGGGCUUACGCCUGAACCAGCCAAGUCGCGUGAGGGAAGACUGCCCUAUGGGUUGUAAACCUCUUUUGUCAGGGAGCAACGCCGGCUUCGUGUAGCCGGACUGAGAGUACCUGAAGAAAAAGCAUCGGCUAACUCCGUGCCAGCAGCCGCGGUAAUACGUAGGUGGCGAGCGUUAUCCGGAAUGAUUGGGCGUAAAGGGUGCGUAGGCGGCCUGCUAAGUCUGGGGUGAAAGGUACCGGCUCAACCGGUACAGGCUCUGGAAACUGGCGGGCUAGAGAGCAGGAGAGGGCGGUGGAACUCGAUGUGUAGCGGUAAAAUGCGUAGAUAUAUGGAAGAACACCAGUGGCGAAGGCGGCCGCCUGGCCUGUUACUGACGCUGAGGCACGAAAGCGUGGGGAGCAAAUAGGAUUAGAUACCCUUGUAGUC
rnacentral:rRNA from 1 species